AAUUGACUUAGUUUGGAAGCGGGAACCCUUCCAUGAGGAGUAGAACAUUCCUUAUGCAAGAUUCCCUUCUACCUGGCUGGGUUG
ensembl:miRNA Mir491 microRNA 491